UACGGGAGGCAGCAGUGGGGGAAUAUUGCACAAUGGGCGCAAGCCUGAUGCAGCCAUGCCGCGUGUGUGAAGAAGGCCUUCGGGUUGUAAAGCACUUUCAGUCGUGAGGAAGGUAGUGUAGUUAAUAGCUGCAUUAUUUGACGUUAGCGACAGAAGAAGCACCGGCUAACUCCGUGCCAGCAGCCGCGGUAAUACGGAGGGUGCGAGCGUUAAUCGGAAUUACUGGGCGUAAAGCGCAUGCAGGUGGUUUGUUAAGUCAGAUGUGAAAGCCCGGGGCUCAACCUCGGAAUUGCAUUUGAAACUGGCAGACUAGAGUACUGUAGAGGGGGGUAGGAAUUUCAGGUGUAGCGGUGAAAAUGCGUAGAGAUCUGAAGGAAUACCGGUGGCGAAGGCGGCCCCCUGGACAGAUACUGACACUCAGAUGCGAAAGCGUGGGGAGCAAACAGGAUUAGAUACCCGGUAG
rnacentral:rRNA from 1 species